GGACGGGAAACAAGGGUAGAGAGGGAAACAGGAACAGAAAGUGAAGACAUGUCAAGAUGUCUGGGUGAGGGGGACCAGAACAGAGCAGAAGCCAGAUGCCAAAACAGAAACAGAAGUUUGAGCAGCUGACUGGAUUAGACAGGAGAGGAGAGCUGACCUGCCACUUCACAAGCGCCUGCGGGACCUACCCAAAUCAAACCACUUCUCUACAAGGGGAUUAAACGAAACCAAAAACCAAAGG